rnacentral:rRNA from 1 species
UACGUAGGUGGCAAGCGUUGUCCGGAUUUAUUGGGUUUAAAGGGUGCGUAGGCGGUCCCAUAAGUCAGUGGUGAAAUCCUCUAGCUCAACUAGAGAUGUGCCAUUGAUACUGCGGGACUUGAGUGAAGUCGAAGUAGGCGGAAUUGACGGUGUAGCGGUGAAAUGCUUAGAUAUCGUCAAGAACACCGAUAGUGAAGACAGCUUACUAGGCUUAUACUGACGCUGAGGCACGAAAAGUGUGGGGAUCAAACAGG